rnacentral:tRNA from 1 species
GGAAGGGUCGCUCAGCGGAAGAGCACCGCGGUGUCACCGCGGCGGCACUAUGCCUCGUGGCGUUCGAAUCCCACCCCUUCCG